UUUCUGGUCUUCUGGCUCUUUUAAAACAAAGACGGCAGAGCAGCAGAAUCUCACAGUCUGAGCACUGAAGAUUUGACUUUACUACGGCUGAAUGUGUUUUAUAAACCUGUUGAUGAACCACAGACCGUAACACAAAAAUCUGUUCAUCGAUGAAUCCCUGGAAACACAAGCAGUGACAAAGGAAAACUGAAGAAAAGAGUAAAAGCAGCUAUGACGGUCCAGAAAGGAUGGAGCUGCUCUGUGUUCUUUCUCCUCUACAUGAUACACGUCACCUGGACACAGAAGUUUGAUGUCAUUGGACCUUCUACUGACAUUUUUGCUCUUCUUGGUGAAGAUGUCACCCUACCUGCCACACUGUCACCGCCACUCAGUACUCAGGGGUUUGAGGUGAGGUGGGUUCGAAAUGACUUGUACUCUGUGGUACUCUUAUACUGGAAUCUUCAAAUUAGACCUGAGCAUCAGAUGCAGGUCUAUAAGGGGAGGACUUCACUUUUCCCAGAAGAACUCGUGAGUGGAAACGUGUCUCUGAGACUCCAGGAUGUCCGUGUCUCUGAUGGUGGUCUCUACAGAUGUUUAGUGACCUCUGAACAAUGGAAUGAGGAGACUCACCUCACUCUGAAUG